AUUGAACGCUGGCGGCAGGCUUAACACAUGCAAGUCGAACGAGUGGCGGACGGGUGAGUAAUGCUUGGGAAUCUAGCUUAUGGAUGGGGAUAACUACGGGAAACUGUAGCUAAUACCGCGUACCAUAGGAUGAGCCCAUGUGGGAUUAGGUAGUUGGUGAGGUAAAGGCUCACGAAGCCGACGAUCUCUAGCUGGUCUGAGAGGAUGAGCGGCCAAACUGGAACUGAGACACGGUCCAGACUCCUACGGGAGGCAGCAGGAGGGAAUCUUCCGCAAUGGGCGAAAGCUGACGGAGCAACGCGGCGUGAGUGAUGACGGCCUUCGGGUUGUAAAGCUCUGUUAAUCGGGAGACGGUACCGGAAUAGAAAGCCACGGCUAACUACGUGCCAGCAGCCGCGGUAAUUC
rnacentral:rRNA from 1 species